rnacentral:rRNA from 1 species
AUGUAUGUGUUGCAGGGCUUGGGGACGUUGGCUGGGCAAAAAUUGUCGGUGAUUGCGCUAGCUGAAGAAAAGGACGAUGACCUAUCAUUGCUUGAACUCAUGGGUGUGGAGGACGGGAUGCUGCUGUUAGCGACUGUGAAGAACUUUACACUCUACCUAUGGUCAAUGGAGGCUGGUCCCAACAAAACUGCAGUAUGGGCGCGACAAAGGGUUGUCGAGCUCGAACCGUUGCUCCCUGCUAGUGCCCUCAUUGGCGUGUGGGUUGCUAGUUUUGCAGAAGGUGUUGGUGUCAUCUUCCUGAGUACAAAUGCUGGGUUGUACACAGUUGAGCUCAGUUCAGUCCGAAGCAAGAAGGUGCACGGGGAGACAUUUUUCAGAGAGCUCAUGCCCUACACGAGCUUCUACACUUGA